rnacentral:rRNA from 1 species
AGUGAACGCUGGCGGUAGGCCUAACACAUGCAAGUCGAACGGCAGCACAGUAAGAGCUUGCUCUUACGGGUGGCGAGUGGCGGACGGGUUAGGAAUACAUCGGAAUCUACUUUUUCGUGGGGGAUAACGUAGGGAAACUUACGCUAAUACCGCAUACGACCUACGCGUGAAAGCAGGGGAUCUUCGGACCUUGCGCGAUUGAAUGAGCCGAUGUCGGAUUAGCUAGUUGGCGGGGUAAAGGCCCACCAAGUCGACGAUCCGUAGCUGGUCUGAGAGGAUGAUCAGCCACACUGGAAGUGAGACACGGUACAGACUCCUACGGGAGGCAGCAGUGGGGAAUAUUGGACAAUGGGCGCAAGCCUGAUCAAGCCAUACCGCGUGGGUGAAGAAGGCCUUCGGGUUGUAAAGCCCUUUUGUUGGGAAAGAAAAGCAGCAGGUUAAUACCCCGCUGUUCUGACGGUACCCAAAGAAUAAGCACCGGCUAACUUCGUG